GCCUGGGUGGCUCAGUCGGUUAAGCGUCCGACUUCGGCUCAGGUCAUGAUCUCAUGGUUCGUGGGUUCGAGCCCCGCGUCGGGCU
rfam:Felis catus isolate Cinnamon breed Abyssinian chromosome X, whole genome shotgun sequence.